CCGGCCCGGGUCCCAACGGGAAAUCUGCCAAUGUGACUGCAAAGUGAACGCCCGGAUUUGUCCUGACACGCCCACUUUUUUCCAACAUCAAAUCAGCGUGUGAGCGGGAACUGGAACAUUUUCUGGCCUCUCAAUCUUGGACAGAAGACCAUUGAAAAAGAAGAAACAGACAGCCUGUCAGUGAAUAAGGUCGGGGACUGUCGUUCCCAGCCUAGUCAGUUCUCGUACUUCUAGAUGGGGCUAGGUGCCUCUGUUGCCCUUGGAUGGCUCGUCUUCAAGUCCAACUUGGCAGAGAAAUGACGACGCUUUGAUGGUCUGAACGUCAACCUGGCUCGCUCCAUAAAUCCUGACUGGAAGGCGUUGAAAAAGAGCAACACUUUGAAAAAGGCAGGUACUGUGCACACAGACAGCAUGUGCAUGUGUGAGGUAUCGCAUGAAAAGUGCUGUCACACAAAAAAAACACACAUUUGGAUGUCACAAAUGUAAACCUUUGAACGGCGACAAGCAUUUAGGCAUGU